CAGGACCCCAUUCCUCCAGGUAAGGACAGUCCUGCCUGGUGUCUACUGCUGCCCCUCUUCUUAUAGGGCACAGGGACCCUCAGACCCUGCUCACCCUGAGGCUUGGUGUCUUUUUCUGGGCAACUCCUGACACUCUGCAAACUUCCAGGCUCCCCAUGAGGUCUGCACAACGGCCGUCCCGUUCAACAGAUGAAGAAACUGAGGUCAGCAAAGCCAUUCAGCCUCUGAGCGGUGAGGAGGGAGCUGGUCCCGCUGGCUGUCUAGCCCCUGGACCUCACUGGUCCCCAGCCAGCCCGGGUGCUCAGCAGUGACAGAGCGUGGUGGCCCUCCCAGGAGUGCGGGGUGGGGGGCAGGGGGACCUCUCCCUUUCGAGGGCAGCCUCUUUUCUGCCCAUCCGUGGCAGGAGGGAGUCCUCUCGCAGGAAGCAGGAAUGGGCCAGUGGAGCUGCAGG
rnacentral:lncRNA from 1 species